AAUCAACGCUGGCGGCGUGCCUAACACAUGCAAGUCGAACGAGAAAGUGGGGCUUGCUCCACGAGUAAAGUGGCAAACGGGUGAGUAACACGUGAACAACCUGCCCUCGAGUGGGGAAUAACACCGCGAAAGCGGUGCUAAUACCGCAUAACAUCCCGGGGUCGCAUGAUCCUGGGAUCAAAAGCGCAAGUUGCUUGAGGAGGGGUUCACGGCUGAUUAGCUAGUUGGUGAGGUAACGGCCCACCAAGGCAACGAUCAGUAGCCGGCCUGAGAGGGCGAACGGCCACGACUGGAACUGAGACACGGUCCAGACUCCUACGGGAGGCAGCAGUGGGGAAUUUUGCGCAAUGGGCGAAAGCCUGACGCAGCAACGCCGCGUGGAGGAUGAAGGCCUUCGGUCGUAACUCCUGUCAGUGGGACGAAUGCCUCGCAAGAGGUUUGACUGUACCCGUUGAGGAAGCCACGGCUAACUCCGUGCCAGCAGCCGCGGUAAUCAUACUCG
rnacentral:rRNA from 1 species